UACGUAGGGUGCAAGCGUUAAUCGGAAUUACUGGGCGUAAAGCGUGCGUAGGCGGUGAUGUAAGUCAGAUGUGAAAUCCCCGGGCUCAACCUGGGAACUGCAUUUGUGACUGCAUCGCUGGAGUACGGCAGAGGGGGAUGGAAUUCCGCGUGUAGCAGUGAAAUGCGUAGAUAUGCGGAGGAACACCGAUGGCGAAGGCAAUCCCCUGGGCCUGUACUGACGCUCAUGCACGAAAGCGUGGGGAGCAAACAGG
rnacentral:rRNA from 1 species